AGUGAACGCUGGCGGUAGGCCUAGCACAUGCAAGUCGAACGGCAGCACAGUAAGAGCUUGCUCUUACGGGUGGCGAGUGGCGGACGGGUGAGGAAUACAUCGGAAUCUACUUUUUCGUGGGGGAUAACGUAGGGAAACUUACGCUAAUACCGCAUACGACCUACGGGUGAAAGCAGGGGAUCUUCGGACCUUGCGCGAUUGAAUGAGCCGAUGUCGGAUUAGCUAGUUGGCGGGGUAAAGGCCCGCCAAGGCGACGAUCCGUAGCUGGUCUGAGAGGAUGAUCAGCCACACUGGAACUGAGACACGGUCCAGACUCCUACGGGAGGCAGCAGUGGGGAAUAUUGGACAAUGGGCGCAAGCCUGAUCCAGCCAUACCGCGUGGGUGAAGAAGGCCUUCGGGUUGUAAAGCCCUUUUGUUGGGAAAGAAAAGCAGCAGGUUAAUACCCCGCUGUUCUGACGGUACCCAAAGAAUAAGCACCGGCUAACUUCGUG
rnacentral:rRNA from 1 species